UGCAACGGGGCACAGGCUUCUGAAAGGCACACGUGGUCUCAACUGUGGCACCUUGGAAACAGCCUACGAACUCAAAGGUGACGUUUUUUUCCCUUGGGCUUGAGCUGGGCUUUCUGGUAGAGUGCAGCCGAGGAGUGUCUCAUUCACCGCCAGUCAAAACACCCUGGGACAUCCUGGGGCCCAGAGUAUCCUGCAAGGCUCAUGUGUGACCUCCUGGGAAGCAGGUGGCUAUUGAGCUUGGCAGUCUCUCCCCAGGAUGCGGCAGAGGGGCUCACCUUGGUGCGCCAAGAAGAGCAGCUGAGCUGUGCUGAGUUGGGUCUGUCUCCAUCCAGUAUUUGUGGUAACCACAGGCUUCGGGAUAGUCUGCUUCUACCUGGGCACAGCUGUGGAAACUUCCUCGGGCCUUAGAUUUUGCAUCGUUAGGGAUCCGCACCCAGGCAGGUUAGUUCCUCCUUCCCAGGUCCUGUAUCGGUUGCUAUUCUCCUUCUCACAGAUGGACUGCCUCUCCUUUGACUUCCCGCCUGUUAUGCUUGGGACUACUGCAGAAGCUUAGCCCCUUCUGAUGUUUGUGUAUGACAAUCUACAGGCCCAGUCCUUGACACUAUCUGAUCCAGAGAGCUGCCUUGUGGGGAUGCAGACCUUCUACAAACAGGCACACUAUGCACCAGGCACCCAGCACAGUCACCCUGGCGCUCCACUCUCAAAAACAAAAGAAGGAUGGAGACCCACUGGACACAUAAAAAAGACCAGAAAUACGAGAAAGAAGUAGGAGAACAACCAACCUCAUAGGGAAAAUAAAUAUUUCAGAAAGCAGAAGAUAAUUCCUCAAAAUAUUAACCAGUGUCUUCAGAGGAAUGAAGGUCUGAGGCCUAUAAUGAAAAGGAAAUAAAUAAAUAAAUAAAUAAAUAAAUAAUUGCUGUCAAAAAGGAAUCACACGGUAAAGAUAGAAGCUUAGAAAUUAAACAGGAUGAUUUAAAUCAAAAUUUUAAUUAAGCUGAGCCAGGUGGUACACACCCUUAAUCCCAACCCUCAAGAGGCAGAGACGGGUGGAUCUUUGUGAGUUUGAAGCCAGCUUGGUCUACAUAGGGAGUUUUAGGUCAGCUAGAGCUACAUAGUGAAAUAUUUUCUCAAAAAAAAAAUGGAGUGAGAGGGAGCUGGAGAGAGAUUUCUCAUUGGUUAAGACUAUUUGCUGCUCUUCACAUGCCUGAAUUUAAUUCCCAAAACCACAGGACAAUUAAUAGCUGUCUGUAACUCCAGUCCCAGGGGAGCGAACCCCUUCUUCUGGACUGUCUGAGUAGCAGGAAGGCACAUGGUGCACAGACAAAACACCCAUAUACAAAACAAAAACCUAAAAUCAUUAGAGCUGGAGAGGUGGCUUAGCAGUUAAGAGCAUAUACUCCUCUUGCCAAGGGCUCAAGUUCAAUUCCCAGCACCUGCAUCAGGAAGCUCACAACCUCCUAUAAUCCCUGCUCCUGGGGAACUAACCCUCUCCUCUGUCCUCCUUCUGUAGGUCUCAUGCACUCACGUGCAUGCCCCACUGCCACAGACACAUACACAUAGUUAGAAAGUACAUUUAUUUUUGCAAUAAAAUAAUCUUAAAAUUCAAAAUUGUCAGCCGGGCAAUGAUGGCACACACCUUUAAUCCCAGCAUUUGGGAGGCAGAAGCAGGUGGAUUUCUGAGUGUGAGGCCAGCCUGGUCUACAGAGUGAGUUCCAGGAUAACCAGGGCUACACAGCGAAACCCUGUUUUGAAAAACAAACAAACAAACAAAAAAUUCAAAACAAAAAAUUGUCAAUAAAACAAAGCCGGGAUGCAUCCUAGAGUUUAGAAUGAAAAUAGGAAGAAACUAAAAAAUGUAAGUGAAAAACACAGUCGCAAUAAGUCAACCCAGAAUGUCAGGUGCUUGAUUGUUUUGCAGCAAUAAGCACAGAAUACUCAGAAAAGAAUAUAAUCUCAGAAACAAUGGAAGAUCCUGGCAUAAGGUCUUAAAGGAUCACAAGUGUCUGUCCGAAGAGAGCUAGUGACUACCACUCUGAAUUGAUAACACAUUGUCUGUAUUUAGACAUAGCCACAUGAAAAUUGAGAAUACAAAAAUAAAAUGAAAGUUAAAAAGAUACCCAAGUUCCCAGAGAGAAGAAAUAAAAGUGAGAGCUUCUCAGAAGGCUCUAGAAGACAAUGGCACUAGACCUUUUGGGGUGUAGAAGAUAAAUUCUGUGAAUGAGUGAUUUAAAUGGUUAGAACCAAGCAUCCGGGUGGGAGCGCAUGCCUGCACUCUCAGAGGUCAGCAAGCGGGUACAGACAGAUCAUAACCUUGAAGGCCUGGGCUACACAGUGAGUUCAAGGCCAGCCUGGUUUGAAUAAUGAGACUCUGCUUCGAAAAAUAAGAAAAAAAGGGAAUGGGGUGUCAGGAAUAGCAAAUGAAGACAUUCUACAGCUUUUUAUAGAGUUUCCUAGGAAGUUCAAUAGCAAAGCAAGGAGAUAAAAGACCCAUGCUGAAUCCAAGGACCAAUGGAUGUAGCCCAAUAGUUAAUGACAGAUGAUGCAUCGGGGGUAAGGCCUCCAGAGCAGUGGGACAAGCUUAGAUCGUGAGUCCUAGAGGCUCUGAGAUGGAUGCUGUCAGGCAGGGAAAUGCAGUGUAGUAGAACACCUGAUCAGACAGCCCCAGUCUAGAACACAGAAACUUCUGGAAACAUUCUGAGGAUUUGAAAUUGGACAACUACUCUAAAUGCUAAAACCACCUCUGGUUUCUGGUCCAGCACACGAGGAUCUCAGAAGACAUCAUUCUUGCCACUGUAAGACAAAAUCUGGAAGUGUGACGAAAGGAUGGACCAUCUAGUGAUUGCCAUAUCCAGAGAUCCAUCCCAUGAUCA
rnacentral:lncRNA from 1 species